GGGAGGGGGCGGGCGCCCGGCGGAGAGGAUGACGUGAUGCUCUUCGGGCCCCGCGGGCCGCAGUUUCCCAAGCGGUCGCCGCAGCGCGGCCGGCGACGGUCUGGCCCGCUACCGCCACCCCCUCGGGGCCGCGACUCCCGCUAAGUGGCCUCCAGAACUCCCUACCACUUGGGAGCUCCCCUUCUACUUCUGAGAAUUCGCAGAUCCAUACCUGAGCCUGUCCUCCUAAGAGAAAGAGGGAAUGAGGAGGAGAGAAAAAUGCCUCCUGGUCCUUGUCUUGGGGUCCUCUUAUUUGGUUUCCCACAAAAGCUAGAAGUAGGAGAAUCUGAAGUUCUAAGACAUGGCAAAACAGAAGACAGGCGCCUGGAUCCCUGAAUCAAGCACAUGGAGGAAAGGCUCCGGCUGACCUUGAACACCCACACUUGACUGUUUUGUGAACAAGAAAUUUAUUUAUUUCAAUUAUGUUAAGCUGCUGGUACUACAGGGUUUAUUUGUUACGGCAGCUAGCAUUACUAUCACCAAAGCAGAUGCUGGCAGUGGGGGAAAUCAGGCCAUAGAGAGCCAUGAAGGUGCACUGUAAAGAGUUUACCUUUGAGGAAAAUGAAGUCACUGCAGAGUUGUGAACAAGGAGUGUCAUGAUCUGACUUAGUUCAAAGGGUAUGCAAGACACUGUUUUAAGUACUCUAUGUAUUAACUCUGUCUAGAACUUGCCCCUGAACUCAGGAUUUAUAUAUCCAAUUGACUCCUUAUCAUCUCAAUGUAGAGGUCUAAGAGGCAUCUCAAAAGUUAGCAUAUUCCAAAUAAAAUUCCUGAUUUGCCCCCAUAAUGUUGCCCCUUCCCUCCUCCCCAUCUCAGUAAAUGGUACCCCCAUUCUUUCAGCUCAUGCAAAACCUUACACUCAUUCUUGAUUUUUCCCUCUCUCUCUCUGUCUCUCUUCCUACCUGCCACAUAUACACACAUUCCACAUCAUACCCAUUAGAAAAUUCUAUUAGUUCAGAAAUUUAUAACAAUAAGGAUAGCACAGUAAUAAAAUUUUAAGCCCUUUAAAAUUGUCUAGUUCACUAAGAAUGGACUAACAGUUAUCAAAGGGAAAGGGACUGGGGAGGAUGGGUGGGAAGGGAGGGAUAAGGUG